CUGCGUUUCUAAAACGCAGCUUCAGAAAUGCUUGAAACGUACUAUACAAGGAUGGAGCUGCGUUUGAAACGCAGCUUCAAGUUUCAGUAUAAACAAAAAAAAAACGAAACGUGGAAUCCCUCACCAUCGAAACAGAAAACUGGCUCUCCGAUCGCACAAAACCCUCACCGAUCGCCCACACUCCCCUCACCGAUCGUACAUUCCCCUCACCGCUCCAACACAGUCCCCUCACCGCUCGCACAUCCCCUCACCGAUCGCAGACAACUCUCACCGAUCUCAAACAACUCUCACCGAUCUCACACUCCCCUCACCGAUCUCAGCCCACUCUCACCGAUCUCAAGCCUAUGUGAAUCCCCUCACUUCAACCCUAUGUGAAUCCCCUUCUUCCCUCCGCUCUUCCUCCUCUUCGUUUCCUUCUCAUCGAUCGCUGGCACACACCCAUUCUCGCAAGGCCGACUAGCAGAACUCAUGCCUUCUUUACCAAAUUAUGUUGAAGUUCAUUUGAAGCUUUCAUAGCUUGGAUUUGCUAAUGCUGAAUAAAGGAUUGAAGAGGUAAAAUGCGACUGCUUCUGGUGUCUAAUCUAAA